AAUGAACGCUGGCGGUAGGCCUAACACAUGCAAGUCGAACGGCCGCACAGUAAGAGCUUGCUCUUACGGGUGGCGCGUGGCGGACGGUUGCGUAAUACAUCGGAAUCUACUUUUUCGUGGGGGAUAACGUAGGGAAACUUACGCUAAUACCGCAUACGACCUACGGGGGAAAGCAGGGGAUCUUCGGACCUUGCGCGAGUGAAUUAGCCGAUGUCGGAUUAGCUAGUUGGCGGGGUAAAGGCCCACCAAGGCGACGAUCCGUAGCUGGUACGAGAGAGUGAUCAGCCACACUGGAACUGAGACACGGUCCAGACUCCUACGGGAGGCAGCAGUGGGGAAUAUUGGACAAUGGGCGAGAGCCUGAUCCAGCCAUACCGCGUGGAUGAAGAAGGCCUUCGGGUUGUAGAGCCCUUUUGUUGGGAAAGAAAAGCAGCAGGUUAAUCCCCCGCUGUUCUGACGGUACCAAAAGAAUAAGCACCGGCUAACUUCGUG
rnacentral:rRNA from 1 species